rnacentral:rRNA from 1 species
CAGUCGCCGCGGGAAUACGAAGGGUGCAAGCGUUACUCGGAAUUACUGGGCGUAAAGCGUGUGUAGGUGGUUGUUUAAGUCUGUCGUGAAAGCCCUGGGCUCAACCUGGGAAUUGCGAUGGAUACUGGGCGACUAGAGUGCGGUAGAGGAUAGUGGAAUUUCCGGUGUAGCAGUGAAAUGCGUAGAGAUCGGAAGGAACAUCUGUGGCGAAGGCGGCCAUCUGGGACAACACUGACGCUGAGGCACGAAAGCGUGGGGAGCAAACAGGAUUAGAUACCCGAGUAGUCCCUGUCUCUUAUAC